GGGGACAACAUUCGGAACGGAUGCUAAUACCCCAUAGGUGGAUUGGUCGCAUGACGAAUUCAUUAAAGGUGGCUUUGCUACCACUCAUGGAUAGCCUCGCGGCGUAUUAGCUAGUUGGUAAGGUAAUGGCUUACCAAGGCAGUGAUACGUAGCCGACUUGAGAGGGUGAUCGGCCACACUGGGACUGAGACACGGCCCAG
rnacentral:rRNA from 1 species